rnacentral:tRNA from 1 species
GAGCAGAUGGCGGAGCUUGGUCGAACGCGCCCGACUGCAAAUCGGGUUCUUUUCGAAGGACGCGUGGGUUCGAAUCCCACUCUGCUCU